AAUAAGAUAUAUAAAUGAUACUUAUUUUCUUGUUAUAGGCUAUGCUUAGAGCAAGUAAUAUAAGUAUGUAAAGGAAUUAUUACGCAAUUCUAGCUAUGUAUUAAGGAGAGCAAAUUUGAUAUAAAAAGGAAUAUAUAAUAUUUCUAGUUAAUAAGCUCUAGAAGAAAUUUAAUAAUAAACGAAGUGAAGUGAAAUAUCUCAGUAACUUCAGGAAAAGAAAUCAAAAGAGAUUCUAUGAAUAGCGUGAGCGAAAGUAGAUAAGUCUAUUAAGUAAAAUGGUUUAUAAACUGUUUGAAUGGGGAACCUUCCUCAAAGACUAAAUAUGAUACAUAAGCGAUAGAUAAUGGGCCGUGAGGUAAAUGGAAGUUAGUAGUAAUUUUAUAAGCAGUUCGAAUAGACUUAGUUUAAGCUAAAGAACGUACCUUUUGCAUAAUGGGUCACCAAGUUAACAUUAGAUGCGAGGAAAUUUCGUAGUUAAACCAAACGUUAAAAUAACGAUAAGUGUCUAAAGUUAGACCCGAAGCCUAGUGAUUUUACCAUGAUCAGGACUAUAAAGGUCCGAACGGGUGAUUGUUGCAAAAAUCUCCGAAGAAUCGUGGUAGGUAUAGUGAAAGACAAUACUGACUAGGAUAGCUGGUUUUCUGCGAAACCUAUAACAGUAGGCAAUUUAAGUAAAUAUCUUAGCAGGUACAGAAUUUAAUCUCAGGCAAUAUUUUAUUGCGCAAAUUGGGGAAUCGUGAAGAUUUUAUCAGUGAGUAUGUAGACUCGGAAUGGCAAAGAUAUAUCUUGAAUGAUCAGACAUAGAAUGAUAAGGUUGUAUGUCAAAAGGGAAACAGCCCAGAACAAGAGUUAAGGUUCCUAAAUUAUUUGUUAAGUGAAAUUAAGAAGGUUUUUAUUAAAGUCGACAAGGAGAUAGGCUUAGAAGCAGCCAUAAUUUUAUGACCUCGUAACAGAGCGCUUGUUAAGUUAUAAAAGCAUCGAAAAUAUAACGGAUCUAAACAAUAUACCGAAACCUUGUCCAUAAAUUAUUAAUGCGCAAGCUACAUAUUUAAUAUUUAUGGGGUAGCAGAACGUUGAAUUAGGCUAAAUAACAAGUUUAUAAAUUUGUUAUGUUAAUUCAAGUGAGAAUGGUGACAUGAGUAACGAAAAGAAUAGUAGAUUUUGUCGAUAAUUCUAGCUUGCUAGAAUUAGGUACAUACAUUAAAUAAUAGAUCUUAUUUAGUGCUUACAAGAUCUGCUAUCCGCCUAAAGCUUAUGGUUAGAAUUAAGUAACGGCCUCUAAGCUUUUUAUCUAAAGAUUGAAGCGAUGAGAAAAUCUUUUAUUAUGAAAUAGACGACAUUUAUCUAGUGAAAAAUGUACAGGAAAAAUCAUAAUAUAGUAACCGUACCUAGAAACCGACUAUGGUAAGCUAGUAGAGUAUACGAAGGCGUAAUUGAGAUAACAAUCAUAAAGGAACUCGGCAAAUUGACUAUCGUAACUUCGGGAUAAGUAGGGCUCAUUAUUCUUGAUUAAUAUCAGGUAAAGAGGAAGAAACAUAAAAUAAUGUUGUACGACUGUUUAAUUAAAACACAGCACUUUGCUUAAAGAUUAAAAAUCUAUGUAUAAAGUGUGAUAUCUGCCCGGUGCCGGCUGGCUAACAGAGAUAAUUGAAUAUAUUACUAUUUGAUGUCGACGGAAGCCCCGGUUAAAGGCGGCCUUAACGUGAGGGUCCUAAGGUAGCGAAAUGCCUUGGCCGUUAAAUGCGGUCUUGCAUGAAUGGUGUAACGAUACAACAGCUGUCUCUAUGAUUGACUCAGUGAAAUUGGAAUAGCUGUGCAGAUACAGCUUACCUCUAGUUAGACGAGAAGACCCUAUGCAGCUUUACUGUCACUAAUUAUAGAUUUUGAUGAACAAUUUUCAGACUAAAAGGGAAUUGAUUAAAUAUUCAUGAGAAACCUUUAUUUUUUUCUUCAUUUGAAUGAAUUGAUAUACCUACUAACGUUAGUAUAUCAUCCUAGUUCAGCCUAGUUUCUUAGUUUACUAAGAAAUAGGUACCCUUGGAAAGGAACUAUUGCUAGGGGACAGUUUAUGUGGGGCACAGACCCUGUAAAGAGUAAACAGGUGUGUCUAAUAAUUAUUUUUAUUUUGUUUGCUAUUUUUAUAUAAAUCGUAUUCACUUUGAUAUAGUUGUAAGGUAUAGUUGCGCAAGCAAGCUAUACGAUUAUAUUUAUAUCGAAAAUUUAGGUAAGAUUUUGACUAUACUGAAAUUAGAGAUAAUUUAAAAUUUUAUGUAU
rnacentral:rRNA from 2 species